AAGCAGUGAUGUGGUGCAAACUCAAAAAGUAAGUCUCAGUUCGGAUUGAAGGCUGAAAUUCGCCUUCAUGAAGCCGGAAUUGCUAGUAAUGGCAGGUCAGCAUACUGCCGUGAAUACGUUCCCGGGCCCUUGUACACACCGCCCGUCACACCAUGAGAGUUGGGAAUACCCGAAGCCUGUGAGCUAACGUUAAGAGGCAGCAGUCGAAGGUAGAAUCAAUGAUUGGGGUGAAGUCGUAACAAGGUAAC
rnacentral:rRNA from 1 species